AUGAAUCGCCUUGCGUUUCUGAGUAGCUGUGAAAAUCUUGAUCUUACAGGAGUGGAAAUGGUGGGGAAUUUCUUUUAGAAAACUUUCCAUGUAGUCUGCUUUUAGAUUUGGCCAAUGUUUGCUUUCUAAUUCGACUUUGUGUCUUAUAUGAGGUGUUUCCCUUACGAAAAAUAACCAUGGUUUUAUUAUAGUAAAGCUGUAGUAACCCAUGUUUUUUUGGCGUGUUGACUACAAUUUACAUAACCACAGAUUUACUGUAAAUACCAUGGUUAAACUAUGGUUAAUAUAGCAAAACCAUGGUUAAUUUGAGGUUACCAUGGUUUAACUACAGUAAGCAUGUUUUUUAAAAUGUAUUAUUUGUAUUAAAACCAUGGUUAAUUUUCGUAUACACAAUGUAUCAUAAACCAGGAUAUUGUUUUUGAUUACAUGCUCAAUUUCACGUAUAACAGUGUUCAUAAUUGUUCAUAGAAACAUAUAUUUGGCGGGUCUACUCUAUAUAUCUUUGAAACAACUCUUAAAAAUUGCAUUCAAAAUUAUUUUGAGAGGAACUAUUUUUUAAUCACGCGGCGGAAGGAGCUGAAACCGACCGGCUAUCUACCCCCUUGGUCUAUAAAAACCAUGGUAACAACAAAGCACGUCAGGACGGGGUGAGGCGCUCAGGAAGGCAGGCAGGGCCCGGUGAACUGGUGACGUGAUUUCGCUUUAUUAUAUUUUACUUUUCUGAAGAUAACUAUAGGCACUAUUCUUUGUCAACGGUUUCUCUUUCAAGCUUAUUCUUACUUUGUUACAGUUGACUAUACUAAAGCGUUUUAUUAAUUACCUUUAACGUGAAGAAGAUUUAAUGAAAGCUUUAUUAUACAUUAAAAGUACUUUUUUUGAAGAAAUAGUUGACGAGACGUUUUGUAAUACGGAAGACAAAAAAAAAAAGCUUUUUAACGUUAUAGAUGUGUUAUGCUGAUUUUACUACUAUCUAACGUUUAACCAUCUGAUUAAUAGCUUAAACCAAGCACAGCUAUGACCAUGUUAUCUUAUUUUAUUAAGCUAGUUUUAAAUAUAUUAUUCUUUCAACGAGAUUUUUAUGAAGUGACGUGACUUAAAAGCUUUUUUUCGGUACUUUCUCAUUCUUAACGUUAGCAACGCCUUUUCAAAAUGGCGCUCGCGACGGUUAGCAGAUCCAAGAUCACGAGGAGAACAAUCCGACAAGAUUUAGAUCAUUUAAAAAAAGAAGAAAAAGAGGAGGCAUACGUUUCUUUUGUCUGCAAACCAUAACAGAACAACCAGUAACCGCUUACUGUUAAGAUAAACACCGGGCAUACAGAAAACUAGUCUUUUUAUUUAUUUUUUGAAGCUUUUGGAGAAGCCCGUCUAAUUCCAUUUAUUAAUAAGAAACCUGAACAUCAAGUGAGCUCAUACUUGAAGAAAUGGACGACGGUUAUAGUUGAAGCUUAUUUGUUUCUGAAGAUUUUUUUUUACGUAAAACCAGUUUUUCGACCAUCAAUUCAUGAAUAAAAAAAAAAAGAAAAGAAAGAAAGAAAAGAUUUAAUCAGCUACGAUGACGCACUUCUGAACGACGCAUCUAAAAGAUCUCUUUUACGGACUGAGUCACGUGUUGCGUAACAGCUGUGAAAUUGGAGCGUAGCUUGUUUUUCAUUAUCCAAAAAUAUCAGAAGACUGAAGUACGGAGUAAAGGAGAAAUGGACUGAGUUUAAUUAAUCCAGUAACGACCUAGCGCUUAGAUGACAACGGAUGGAAGAACAGAUCGUCAGCAGAGGCCAGGACCAGGGAGAAUCAGGACAAGAUGGCGGGCCAGGCAGGACCAGAGGGGAACCAGGGGAGGAUCAGAGGGCACAGAGCAGGCAACAGCAGCAGUAUCCAGAUGGGGGAGCCAGAUCCACAAGGCAGAUUAGCGUCAGAACAACUUACGCCACCAGAGGGAGCUCAGCUGGUCUAGAUCAGAGCAAGCCAAAGAUGAAUGUCCCAACAGCAGCAGAGAAAGAAAGAGGGCUCACAAGCAGAGUAUCAGGGGUCUUCGCCAUAGCAAAGUCAUGAAGAGGGCAUUUGGUUUGUAUGGGUAGAGGUAUCCUGUGUAAUAUUGAAGUCAUUUCAGUAGCUUUUGCAUUCCAGAACACCUUUGCUCGCGAAGUUCUGUUCUUUCCUUUUCAGGCGUGGUGAGUGACAGUGUUUGAAAUUCCGAUGUGUCAUCUUUCCUGUUGUUGGCCAAGUCUGAUGAAUGGCGUUAGUGUGCUGUGGAGAUGACCAUCUUUAAUCGACCACGCCUCCGCUACGUUUUGGUUAUAGGCCCUUGGAAAAGCCGUCCCCAUAUCCGCUUAAAUCCAUUAGGUCUGUCCUGAGAAGCAAUCUACAUGCGAAGGGUUUUUCGGAGUUGAAGUUCCCCUGAGUCCGUCCCUACACGACACAACUACCUCUACUGCCACCCCCGCUACGUCAGGCCGACAUAUGAUGCCAGGGCAGCUGCGUAUUGCCUGCCGGUAAAAUUUUUGACGAGUUCAUGCAUGAAUUUUAAUUAUAUUAAAGCAACAGUGCUUUUAUUUAACAAAAAAAAAAGGAAAAAGCAACACGUUCUUUAAAAAAAAAAAAAAAAAAAGUGCCACUGUAAAAGUAUUAACAUACAGAUUUUGCAAAUGCAGUUUCUGAGUAGUUGCAUAAUGUUAUUGCACAGUGUUUUGGGGGUUUGGGAGGGGCAAAUGCGUUUCUCGAGUUCUCUUUCCCACAGGCCCUGGUCACAUUAGAGGCGAUAGAACAAAAAGGGAUUCCAGGAUGUUGUGUGGACCCUUUUAAAGUCAAAUUGUUGACUCCUGUAACGAUUCUUACAAAGCUACAAGGAAAGCCUCUACUUUGAUGGGAUUUAGGAAGGUACCUCAUUGAAUUUGUUAAGUCGUGUUUGGAAUUUGUGAACCAUAUACGUGCAUAAAUAUAUAUCGGUAUUUAAUGUCUGGGAUUGUAAUGGGCAAUGGGGUGGGAGGGGUGUGGGCCGUUAACCCAAAUCUUUUCCUAGACUUUGCAGCUUGUGAAAGCGGCUUUAUGUAAGGGUGCAGUGGCUUGAAUAGCGCUGUAUGGGGGAAGGAACCACCAGUGUGUCUGCCAGUGGAUGAGUGGCCCUGUUACAAGGCUUCCAUGGCAGCUAGACCAGCGUUUACAUCUUUGGUAAUGCGGCAUGGGAUCAAACGCUUCCAUUUAUUUAACACAUCAUGAUGGCACUCUUUUGUCUCAUUAUUGAAUGGUGUAUAGAUAUUGGUUGUAUGUAUUGAUAUUGUUUAUGGGGUUUGUAGAUCUUGGGGGGAUUGCAUAAUUUUGACUCUUACAGAUUGAAACAAACCCUCAAAGAACAAAGCUGGUGGUCCAACCAAUAUCUGCUCCACCCCCCCACUUAAAGAGCAAAGCUACUUCAAUAGAGGCCAAGAUGCUUUUAUCGUUUUCUAAUGGCAAGUAAUUGGGUAUUCAUGUAAAUGGCAUUCAUUUGCUUUUGUCUGUCAUUGUAUUGUACUUGAAUACAAUUUGAUGGCUAAGUGUCUAUGCAGUAAUUGUAUUAGUUGCUUAUUGUUUGGUUAAAAUUUUGUAUCUUUAUGAGCGGGGAUGUGUGUAGGCUUUCUUUUCCUCCCCCUUUGCAUUUUUCAGUGUGCAGUGUUCCCUGAAUGCUUUCAACUGAAGAUGUCAUCCUAACAUUGUAUGUAAAGAUUUGCUUUCGCAUCAAUCAACUUCAGCCUCUUUUGGUCACGUAAGGUCACUAAGCAAGCCCAUUUGCUCCUAACAUUUUUCCAUUAAUAGUCUGUUACUAUUGUUAAGCUGUGUGGUCGAGCACUUAUUACAAAUUAGCUUUGUAAUUUGUAUGUAAGUGUACAUUCUGUAACUGUUCCCAUUUUCAGUUAAUAAAUGCAUAGCUUGUUGUGAUUGAAAUAUUUUGGUAUGCAUUUUGUUUCUUGGGGUAUGUCUGGGGCUUUCUUGGGUAUUUCUCUGUGCUUUUUCAGGUGUGAGUGUAAAGCUUGGCGCUUUUUGUAGAGCUUGGAUGCCAGGGCUUGAUGUCGACUCUGUUCAAGGUGGAGAGGCAGAUCAGUCCAGUUCUACUGUACUCAGAUCGAAGGAAGAAAGGCAAAAUAUACUAAUUUAACUUGAAGAUAUGCUUUAUGCAUUAAAUUGUAGUCUCUUAUACAUAAGCCUACCCUUUUAAUACCUGAUUCUUGUAGACUUUGUUUUUACUUGGAUAUUGGGCUGUUUUGUAAGGGUGGGCAGAGGGGGUCUUUUGUUUUUGCCAUUUUUGGUCUUGCAGAAUAUUACGAAGCCUCGUGAAGAAUGCCACUUCAUCCGGUCCCACUGAAUACUUCGGCAGGCAGGACAAUUUGUUGUGCUACAGAAGAUUUUCAACUGUACUUUACUUUUAAAAUGUUUAAUUACCCAGCCACUGCUCUGCGCAACUGUGCAGGGUGACAGUUGCUUUACAAAUGUAUAGCAAUAGUCUGUUCAGCUGUUGCACAAAUGUGCUCCAAACUCCAAAUUUAGAGUGGCUGGGAAAAGCUGUGCAACUGUGCAGCUAUAUUUGGCACUGGCUAUAUAGCCAAAAGUUUUCUGGAAAAUAUUUGUUUGGGGUGGGGAGGGCUUUGCACUAUUCUCUCUCUUCUGCAGAAAUCUCAUCAGCCAGCUGUGUGGUGAAAGUUACAUGAUGUCGUCCUGUGGAGUCUGUAGUUAACAGGUGUCUGAAUCUUUAAACUUGAUUGUAGAAUCCUCAUGUAACAUUUUGUAAUCUUCAGUAACAUCAAUCACCUAUGCUUCAGAAGCUACACUUUUUCUUAAAUUUUUUUUUAUGCUUCAUGCACUUUUAAGUGUCUUUUACAUCUCUUAACUCCUUUAGUAUUGAAGUCAGUGUGGUGGAAGUGUUUGUGUGUAGAAGCUCUUUGUUUCAGAUUACCCGUCUGUCCCCCGCCUUCUCAACUGCAUCUGAAUGCGAGGCUGUCUGUGAGAGCAGUUGCCCUGGUGAAUGUCUUCACUUUAAUGAAUGGCGAUCAAAUCCCCCACCAUGCGCUUGAUCUUUGUCCUAUCCUCGGAAGCCCUUCGCUGAAGCCCCCCUGUGUGUCUGCGCGUCUUUCCCGUUUUUCUUUUUUUUUUUUUUUCUUUUCUCCAAUUCUUCAUUUUCUUAGGUCAAUUUCACUUAGGGAGCAAAAUUGUCUUGUGUCGUCUGGGAGAGCUCUAACCGCCUGAUGAAACAUCCAGUCGCUCUGAUCAACUUCAUUCGUCAUUUUGCUGCUAAUUGAGCAUCGCUCUGCUGCUAUCUGCUGAGUUAAGUACAUGUAGUUGAUCUUAAUCUUAUGUGUGGGUAGAACAAGCACUCACUUUUUCAUAAAAAUGCAUGCACUUAACACUUGCACUAAAAAUUCAAUCAAAUCCAAUGUUAGUGUUUGGAAUUUGGUAGCUUUGGGGAGGGUUGGGGCAACACUUUCUCUCUUUUCAGGUAUGCUGUUGUGAUGCAUCUAAAAUUGAGAUCGAGCCGUAACAUGGGAUUGGAUGGAUGUGCUUGCGUCAAAGCAAUUGCGUAACAACUGUAGACUUUCUAAAACUUUACUCUGAAGAGUUGGGUGUAAAGCGUCAAUGGCUGAAGAUAAGUUUUUACGAGCACUUUUGCCUUCUAAAGAUUGUAAAAUGAAAAUAGUUCGGGGAGUCUUUGGGGGGGAACGGAAAAACCCUGCGAGCAUCUGUCUAGUUACAGGAAAGGUGAUUUCCCAAAGGCAGGAUUUUGUUCUGGCCAUGUUGGUGGGAUUUCGAGACCUGGACCGUUGUUUGGUGGUAAUUGACAUUUGAAUUACAUUGGUUAUGACACAUUGGGGUUGGGCAGGGUGGGGGGGCUCUAAACUCUUCUCUUUCUGUUUCAGCUUUUAAAUGAGAACAUGUCACAACUGAAUGCAAGUGCAACCUUGUUCAAGACCUUGCUGGUCAGAGAUUUGAUCUUCCAAGCAUAUGAAAAUUACCGUUACUUCAGUAGUAGCAAUGACAUUUUGAAUGUUUUGAAGAGUUUAUCCGGGGAUUGGGGGGAUACCUGCAGUCUUUGUGUAGUUUCAGGCUAAAGAAGAAGAGCCAUAGAAGACCAGAGUGUUGUAGAGCAGCAGGUUUGAGGUUUUUCUUUUCCUGAGGGAAUAAUCUUAGGAUUUUUCCUUCAGGUUUUGCUUUUUUAACCUCAUAAGAAAAAAAGCAAAAGACUCCGGUGGAGGCACUCCUGAUUCUCAGGACGGGGUUCAAUUCCCUGCGGCGUCUUUGCUUUCUAACCUCUGCUCAAGUUAUAUUUUUAGUGUACUCCUUUAGUUGAGAUAAUUUUUUCUUAUUUUGAUAAUGGCCCUAUGUCAACUUUGAUUUUGUAUAUACAGGUUCAAAUCCAUAUUUAAGGUAUCCUAAAUCAUUGCUUUAUAAAUUUAUUUAAUGCAUUUGAACUGUGGUAUUUCUGAAAUCCUGCAUUAAUUUAGUUAUCAGUUUACAGCUACUAGUUGUAGUUGAGUAGUUUAUGUACCUCAUUAGUCUUCGGUUGUAACGACAAAGGGUUUAGUUCUCCAGGGUCCAUGUAUUGUUGGCUGCUUGUAUAGUUGCACAAUUUUAUGACCUGGUGAAUUGGCAUUAUAGUACAUUAAGUCUCAGAACUGAACCUUCAUCUGUGUCAGGUUUUAAUAAAUGUAUAUAUUUUUUAAAUUCAUGGAUGAGUUUGUUAUAUAAUGCCACCUGUUUUAAUGGAAUGUUUUGUUUAUUUUGUAUUGAUUGCAUUCAUCUCAAUAAUUAACUUUUUUUUGUUUAAUAUGCAAUGAUCAAGGUAGUAUAUUUAGUCCAUAGGGACAUUGAGUUAUUUUAUUUUACUUGUGCAUGUAACUACUUUAGGUUGAAAAAUAACAUUUAUGGGGAAACCGUACCAGGGACGGGCAGUUUUGUGCAUGUGUUAUGGGGUGAUGUGCACUGAGCAACAUGAUUGGCUCGAAGGUCCUAAUCAGUCCUUCAGUGUAUCUUUUUACAUAUUAUAAAAAGUGGGCUGGAAGUCUUGGUGUUAUCUUUUUGCACACAGACUAAAGCUGUAUGUAAACCACCUUAUUCUCUGCAGAUAAUUAAAGCAAUGCAAUGCAAAGACAAAA